CUUCCUGCCAUGCUUUUUCUAUGGGUUUCUCGGCUGCUUUCGUGCUAGCGACGAACAACGAGCCUAUAUUUUCCCCUUGUGUUCUUCUGUGUGUGACGUCUCCAAGGUUUUUCUAAUGUGUUCAACAAACCAGAUUGCCCACUUCUCAGGAUAUCCCUCUGGAUUCGUGGUUAAACCGUCUCGCUGCAUGUUUUCACUGUUUUAAGAUUCACGUAGCCCAAAGGCAGAAACACGUACUACGUUCUUUGGUGCCUUUUUCAUCCACCUCCUAGUGCGUUGUUACUUCAUAACCCACCAAUUUUAUCCUCUUUAGCACAGCGGCGUCAUUUGUGUUAUCUACGUGUUUGUUCGGUUUCGGAUGCAUUGCCUUUUUUUUUAUCUGUUUCAUCAGAUGUACUGCUCGAGACAUGGUUGACAGUUGUCUGCACACCCUGAAACUGAAAUCUCCAGGCAGCAGUCUGGUGAUACUGCAAACUAAGUGUGGAAUGGUGUUCGGAGGAAUAAACAAAACUUGUGCUCGUGCCUGAUGUUUCUGCGGUGUGCACGUUGACACAUGACGUGCCCCACACACGUCGCACCCUCCGGGCAAGACCCAAGUCACUGUGCGUGUUCCUCCUACAGUGGUGUUCAAAAAAGUAACUUUGCCAGUGUCAUCACUUGGGGUGAGACAAGCAGUGUCAUGUGUACAUCACACAGAAACAGAUAAACCAAGUUGCCUAUCGGGCACGUACAGCAGGGCAAUUGCAUCAGGAAGACACCCAGUUGCUUGCACUCAGUGAAAUUCUUCUGUCAGAAGGAGCACGAGCCUUUUCACCUUGUACAAGGCACAAGUGCUGCACAUCAGUAAAAAUGGCAGAAAGGUCCUACACAGAGAAAUCACAUCGGGCCCAGGACGACCGACCGCCGGGAAACUUGGAAGUUAUUCGUGUCUGGGCGCCCGUGGCGCAUGUGUCGGGAAAUCGCAGCGCCGCCUGGUUAGUGCAACGGGCCUAUACCUACUGGGAAUAAUGUCGAGAGAACAGCAAGACACCCUGAUGAGUUGUGCCAAUCCUGUUAUGUGCACGGAUUACACUCACAGGACUAACAGGUACCAGUAUCCCCUACAGAACCUUGUUGUACUCGAUGAGAUGGGAAAAGGGUACCCUAUAGCUCACAUCAUUUGCAAUAAAAUGUCGACAGAUAC